rnacentral:rRNA from 1 species
GACGAACGCUGGCGGCGUGCCUAAUACAUGCAAGUAGGACGCUGAAGAGAGGAGCUUACUCUUCUUGGAUGAGUUGCGAACGGGUGAGUAACGCGUAGGUAACCUGCCUUGUAGCGGGGGAUAACUAUUGGAAACGAUAGCUAAUACCGCAUAACAAUGGAUGACACAUGUCAUUUAUUUGAAGGGGGCAAUUGCUCCACUACAAGAUGGACCUGCGUUGUAUUAGCUAGUAGGUGAGGUAAUGGCUCACCUAGGCGACGAUACAUAGCCGACCUGAGAGGGUGAUCGGCCACACUGGGACUGAGACACGGCCCAGACUCCUACGGGAGGCAGCAGUAGGGAAUCUUCGGCAAUGGGGGCAACCCUGACCGAGCAACGCCGCGUGAGUGAAGAAGGUUUUCGGAUCGUAAAGCUCUGUUGUAAGUCAAGAACGGGUGUGAGAGUGGAAAGUUCACACUGUGACGGUAGCUUACCAGAAAGGGACGGCUAACUACGUG